rnacentral:lncRNA from 1 species
ACAAAACUCAAAAACAGUAAAACUCAUUCACAACUCAAUUCAUCCUGCCAAUUCAAUCACUUCCAGCCACUUCUUUCAAUCAGAAACUGCACAAUGAUAUUUCUCAACCUUAAAUCUCAGCAUCAGCAAUCCUAGCAAGUGGAAAAACAACUCAAUUCAGCCAAUUCCAGGAAUAAGCAUAAGUAGAACAGCAAAAUCAGUUUCAGCCUCACAGGAAGUGUUUACACUCAUAUUCACUCAAGUGUUUAGGCUCAUCCUGUUUCACUCCUUCAUGACAUGUCAACCUCUAUUCUUAACUUUGAAAGGAUUCUAAGUGACCAUGCUCAGCUCUUUGGUUUCUUCUAGAUCAAAAGGACUUUGUUGGCUUGUAAUGUAACGAUAUGAAGGCUAAGAAAACACAAGGCUUAAUGGAAGUAGAAACUGUGAAGAAGAGGAGAACCUAAACUCAGUGCACGUCUUUUUGAUAAUUCGGCCAGUCCAAUUUUUUCUUUCUCUCUGGUUUUCAUACACUGUCAGGUCUCAUUUUUCAUUCUUUUGCUAUUUUUCUCUUUUCCAGACCUGCUAUUUUCUUUUUCUUAAAACCAGAUUUCAUUUUUUUCUUUUCUUUUUCUUGGCCUUUCUUUUCUCUUUUGCACUCACUAAGUUCCAAGAUCCUCCAUCCCUCUCACAUGUCUCUACAGGUUAGGUAUUUUGUGGGAAAAAGGGUUUGUAACGAAUGGAAACAAAGAAAAAUGGCUAAGGCUAAAAAGAAAAGGUGCAAUGGUAAGAAAAACUGAAAUGGUAAAACUAAAUGGUUAUGAAUGGUUAGAAAAAAUGCCUAAAUCAUGUCUAAAGUCCACCAAAAGCAAGCACAUCAACAAAGAAUCAAUGCAAAAUCAGAAUGAAAAUCAAGCAUGCAUGAAAUCUCACAAGAAAGAAAAAAAUUGGCCCAAAAUCUCUCCAGGUUAAUAAAUUGCCAAUACUGACUUGCUACCCUCUUUUAUGCAAAAAUGCUUAAUUAAAUUGAACUCAGAUGCAAAAACCAAAGCUAGGAAUACCUCUACUUGAAUCUAAAGCAAAGAAUUACAUCAACAGUUCUAAUUAAGAGAAAUAAAACUGAGAAAUGAGUAAAUCAGCAAAGAAUUGAGAAAGGAAUGAAAUAGAACUCAAAAAGAACCUAGAAAUGUCUAACAGAAUGACCUAAAACUAUAUACAACCUAUAAAAUCUAAGACUGAACAGUAUGUAAGAACCUAGACUUAAUUUCAAUGUAUACGAAAGAAACUAGCAAAUAAAAAAAAUCCCAAGAAAAAU